UGUCUUCACUAGUGAUUUCUGGUUGACCCCGGCGGAGGCUACUGCUAUUGGGAUUCGAUUAAGCCAUGCGAGUUGAAUGAAUUUAGAUUCAUGGCGUACGGCUCAGUAACACGUGGAUAACUUACCCUUAGGACUGGGAUAACUCUGGGAAACUGGGGAUAAUACCGGAUAUUAGGCUAUGGCUGGAAUGCUUUGCCUUUGAAAUGUUUCUUGUAUUCGCCUAAGGAUAGAUCUGCGGCUGAUUAGGUCGUUGGUGGGGUAAUGGCCCACCAAGCCUAUGAUCGGUACGGGUUGUGAGAGCAAGAGCCCGGAGAUGGAACCUGAGACAAGGUUCCAGACCCUACGGGGUGCAGCAGGCGCGAAACCUCCGCUAUGUACGAAAGUGCGACGGGGGGAUCCCAAGUGUUAUGCUUAAAGGUAUGACUUUUCAUUAGUGUAAAAAGCUUUUAGAAUAAGAGCUGGGNCAGACCGGUGCCAGCCGCCGCGGNUACACCGGCAGCUCGAGUGGUAGCUGUUUUUUAUGGGCCUAAGGCGUUCGUAGCCGGUUUUAUAGUCUUNGGNUGAAAGCUGUAGCUUACCUAUAGGAAUUGCUGGAGAUACUAUGGNACUUGAAGUCGGGAGAGGNUAGAGGUACUACCGGGGUAGGGGNUGAAUCCUAUUAUCCUGGGAAGAACCACUUGUGGCGAGGCUUCUAACUGGACGAUCUUGACGGUGGAUACCAAAGGCAAGGGGCCCGAACGAAUUAAAUACCCGGGAAGUCCUGGC
rnacentral:rRNA from 1 species